rnacentral:lncRNA from 1 species
GCCGGGGAAGCCCCUGGCGGCGAGGAUGCACCUAACGCUUAUGCUGCCGCCUGGGGAGCGCCUCCUCCAUGAUUGUCUGUUUUUUGUUUUUAUUUCCCUGCAAGUGACGCACGGGGCCUUAGAACUUUUCGUGUUAGCCUUUCCUUGUCAUUCCAAAUGCUAUUUGUGAACUCGUUUGCUCAAGCUAUAUUAUAUUCAAUGCUACUUUAUCCUUGCGUAUCCGGGGACCCGCCAACCACAUGCUUGGCCCGUCUAGGGACCCGGGAUGGACCCGCAGUGCCGACCUAGGACCAAACAGUAGCGGCUAGUCACUCCGCCUGCGGGUUAACUACCCC